rnacentral:rRNA from 1 species
GACGAACGCUGGCGGCGUGCUUAACACAUGCAAGUCGAACGAUGAAGAAAAGAAUUGAAGCUUCGGCAGAAAUUCAUUUCGGAUUAGUGGCAGACGGGUGAGUAACGCGUGAGCAACCUACCUCUUACAAAGGGAUAGCCUCGGGAAACCGGGAUUAAUACCAUAUAACAUUGCGACGAAGCAUUUCGAUGCAAUCAAAGCUACGGCGGUAAGAGAUGGGCUCGCGUCCCAUUAACCAGAUGGUGAGGUAACGGCUCACCAUAGUAACGAUGGGUAACCGGCCUGAGAGGGUGAACGGUCACACUGGAACUGAGACACGGUCCAGACUCCUACGGGAGGCAGCAGUGGGGAAUAUUGCACAAUGGAGGGAACUCCGAUGCAGCGACGCCGCGUGAGUGAUGAAGGAAUUCGUUUCGUAAAACUCUGUUCUAUGGGAAGAAAAGGACUGUACCAUAGGAGAAAGCUCCGGCUAAAUACGUG